rnacentral:rRNA from 1 species
UACGUAGGGUGCGAGCGUUGUCCGGAAUUAUUGGGCGUAAAGAGCUUGUAGGCGGUUUGUCGCGUCUGCUGUGAAAAUCCGGGGCUCAACCCCGGACUUGCAGUGGGUACGGGCAGACUAGAGUGUGGUAGGGGAGACUGGAAUUCCUGGUGUAGCGGUGGAAUGCGCAGAUAUCAGGAGGAACACCGAUGGCGAAGGCAGGUCUCUGGGCCACUACUGACGCUAAGAAGCGAAAGCAUGGGGAGCGAACAGG